GCUACAGGCUUAACACAUGCAAGUCGAGGGGCAGCAUGGUCUUAGCUUGCUAAGGCCGAUGGCGACCGGCGCACGGGUGAGUAACACGUAUCCAACCUGCCGUCUACUCUUGGACAGCCUUCUGAAAGGAAGAUUAAUACAAGAUGGCAUCAUGAGUCCGCAUGUUCACAUGAUUAAAGGUAUUCCGGUAGACGAUGGGGAUGCGUUCCAUUAGAUAGUAGGCGGGGUAACGGCCCACCUAGUCUUCGAUGGAUAGGGGUUCUGAGAGGAAGGUCCCCCACAUUGGAACUGAGACACGGUCCAAACUCCUACGGGAGGCAGCAGUGAGGAAUAUUGGUCAAUGGGCGAGAGCCUGAACCAGCCAAGUAGCGUGAAGGAUGACUGCCCUAUGGGUUGUAAACUUCUUUUAUAAAGGAAUAAAGUCGGGUAUGCAUACCCGUUUGCAUGUACUUUAUGAAUAAGGAUCGGCUAACUCCGUGCCAGCAGCCGCGGUAAUACGGAGGAUCCGAGCGUUAUCCGGAUUUAUUGGGUUUAAAGGGAGCGUAGAUGGAUGUUUAAGUCAGUUGUGAAAGUUUGCGGCUCAACCGUAAAAUUGCAGUUGAUACUGGAUAUCUUGAGUGCAGUUGAGGCAGGCGGAAUUCGUGGUGUAGCGGUGAAAUGCUUAGAUAUCACGAAGAACUCCGAUUGCGAAGGCAGCCUGCUAAGCUGCAACUGACAUUGAGGCUCGAAAGUGUGGGUAUCAAACAGGAUUAGAUACCCUGGUAGUCCACACGGUAAACGAUGAAUACUCGCUGUUUGCGAUAUACAGCAAGCGGCCAAGCGAAAGCGUUAAGUAUUCCACCUGGGGAGUACGCCGGCAACGGUGAAACUCAAAGGAAUUGACGGGGGCCCGCACAAGCGGAGGAACAUGUGGUUUAAUUCGAUGAUACGCGAGGAACCUUACCCGGGCUUAAAUUGCAGAUGAAUUACGGUGAAAGCCGUAAGCCGCAAGGCAUCUGUGAAGGUGCUGCAUGGUUGUCGUCAGCUCGUGCCGUGAGGUGUCGGCUUAAGUGCCAUAACGAGCGCAACCCUUGUUGUCAGUUACUAACAGGUUCCGCUGAGGACUCUGACAAGACUGCCAUCGUAAGAUGUGAGGAAGGUGGGGAUGACGUCAAAUCAGCACGGCCCUUACGUCCGGGGCUACACACGUGUUACAAUGGGGGGGUACAGAGGGCCGCUACCACGCGAGUGGAUGCCAAUCCCCAAAACCUCUCUCAGUUCGGACUGGAGUCUGCAACCCGACUCCACGAAGCUGGAUUCGCUAGUAAUCGCGCAUCAGCCACGGCGCGGUGAAUACGUUCCCGGGCCUUGUACACACCGCCCGUCAAGCCAUGGGAGCCGGGGGUACCUGAAGUGCGUAACCACGAGGAGCGCCCUAGGGUAAAACUGGUGACUGG
rnacentral:rRNA from 1 species